CAUUGUGUGCCCUGGGGAACCCAUAUGAUACUUGCAGUGAGAAUUGGCAUCAUAGCCUGGCGGAUAGGUUGGAGUUACAUGUGUUAGCUCCUUCAAAACAAUUGAGCCAUCCUUUAGCAAGUAGGGAAGGAUCUUGCUGUAUGGCAUUGGCAAAGGAUUGAAAUGUCUUUCUGGCCUUCUUUCCCUCUGCUGAUUAGGUUGACAUUAUUGUGGAGCACGUUGCUGUUGAUUCUGAUGUGG
rnacentral:lncRNA from 1 species